AGUUGCAUGUGGACGUCGUUCGAGGGACGAGUUAAGUCUAUUCCAUGUCUUGUCCUUUUCAGCGGACACGAGUUUCCCACUAACGACAUGGAUAAGCCAGUCAAACUUGCAAAGGUCACCAAAGUGCUGGGCCGCACCGGGUCCCAGGGACAGUGUACACAGGUCCGAGUAGAGUUCUUGGACGACUCCAACCGAUCCAUUAUCCGAAAUGUCAAGGGGCCAGUCCGCGAGGGAGACAUCCUCACACUGUUGGAGAGUGAGAGAGAAGCCAGAAGGCUGAGGUGAACAGACGGGCUGAGCCAGAGACCAUGCAAAAGUUUCCAACACUUCAUUAAGACCAAGGAUCAUGUGUCUUGUACCAUCUUACAUCACUACUUGAUGAGUAUGAGGGAUUCACUACCAACAGCUAAAUUAACUCUUGUGCUGAAAUAUGAUGUACUGCUAUGAGAUUUGAAUGUUCCAGCUGAAGUGAUGUUUGAAUAAAUUUUGUUGCUUUGGAUCAGAA